rnacentral:lncRNA from 1 species
GGCGCGGAGGCACUUACGGUUCGGGCGGUGGGCGAGAGCGAUCCGUUGGGGAGGUAGGGGCUCGUCAGGUCGGGGAUCAUGAUGAAGGGGUAGCCGGGAUACGGUGGCCCCUUAAAGAGCCCUCCAUCUUGCCUCUUGGCCGCUAACAUGGCGGGGCGGCGAGGGGACAGCGGCGGCCGCGCGGAGCGGGAGAGAGUGAGGAG